ACGAAUAGAGGCGUGAGGUUGAGGACGAGCGAAUGAUGGAGAGAUUGAGAGAGAGUUGUGAGAUUGAGGAUGCGAUUGGGAGAUUGAGAGAGCAUUGUGAGAGCGAGUACGAUGAGGGAGUAACGAUGGAGAGUCUGUUGCUCCCAUUUUUUUUCUUUUAUAUAUUUUUAAAAAACAAACAUUUAAGCCACAUAAAAAACCAUUAAAAAACAUUUAUACUUUAGUCUUCCUCUGCAAUUUUAUUAAUUAGUUUUUGUGUUCCCAAUCCAUCAAUCACUUGGAAACCCAACAGCCAGGCGGCUAGGUUUUUUUUUUUGGGAUUCCUCCUUCAUUUAAUUAGUAGUCCAACAGACUAUUUUGUUUUAGUUUUUAUUU
rnacentral:lncRNA from 1 species